rnacentral:lncRNA from 1 species
UUUUAUUGUGGAAUGGGUUUGCCACAAAGCCUCAGGCGGAUAGAUAAGACUCGGGUCUCUGAAAAAUGACAGCUUGACAUCAAACCAACAAAAUCAAUUUCCAAAUUGAUUAAAACCAUUCUCAAAUAAAACUCCGCUGGCUUUCUCGAAUCCCAUUGUGAAAGGUCAUCUGGGAAACCCUUCGUAAAGGCGUGACCUGCUUCAAGAAACGCGAUAUUUGAAAAAAUGAAAUCUACACAUCGAGACACAUUAAGAGUGACUGUUCGCGUGACAAAAGGGUUUGCCACUUUACAAAAGAUUCAUCCCAGUGUUUCUUAAAGAACCAUACAACUGUGAUGUAUUUUAAAUGUCUUUCAAUUAAAAGAAUUGACUCAUG